rnacentral:rRNA from 1 species
AUUGAACGCUGGCGGCAGGCCUAACACAUGCAAGUCGAACGGUAACAGGAAGAAGCUUGCUUCUUUGCUGACGAGUGGCGGACGGGUGAGUAAUGUCUGGGAAACUGCCUGAUGGAGGGGGAUAACUACUGGAAACGGUAGCUAAUACCGCAUAACGUCGCAAGACCAAAGAGGGGGACCUUCGGGCCUCUUGCCAUCGGAUGUGCCCAGAUGGGAUUAGCUAGUAGGUGGGAUAACGGCUCACCUAGGCGACGAUCCCUAGCUGGUCUGAGAGGAUGACCAGCCACACUGGAACUGAGACACGGUCCAGACUCCUACGGGAGGCAGCAGUGGGGAAUAUUGCACAAUGGGCGCAAGCCUGAUGCAGCCAUGCCGCGUGUAUGAAGAAGGCCUUCGGGUUGUAAAGUACUUUCAGCGGGGAGGAAGGGAGUAAAGUUAAUACCUUGGCUCAUUGACGUUACCCGCAGAAGAAGCACCGGCUAACUCCGUG